AUUGAACGCUGGCGGCAGGCCUAACACAUGCAAGUCGAGCGAGCGGCGGACGGGUGAGAUAUGCCUGGGACUUGCCCUGUCGCGGGGGAUAAACGUUGGAAACGACUGAUAACCCCGCAUACGAGUGGAUUCCCGAGGUGGGAUUAGCUAGUUGGUGAGGUAAUCGCUCACCAAGGCGACGAUCCCUAGCUGGUCUGAGAGGAUGAUCAGCCACACUGGAACUGAGACACGGUCCAGACUCCUACGGGAGGCAGCAGUGGGGAAUAUUGCACAAUGGGUGAAACCCUGAUGCAGCCAUGCCGCGUGUGUGAAGAAGGUCUUCGGGUUGUAAAGCACUUUCAGCGAGGAGGCGUUACUCGCAGAAGAAGCACCGGCUAACUCCGUGCCAGUCGCCGCGGUAAUUC
rnacentral:rRNA from 1 species